AUUGAACGCUGGCGGCAUGCUUUACACAUGCAAGUCGAACGGUAACAGGCCGCAAGGUGCUGACGAGUGGCGAACGGGUGAGUAAUGCAUCGGAACGUGCCCAGUCGUGGGGGAUAACGCAGCGAAAGCUGCGCUAAUACCGCAUACGAUCUAUGGAUGAAAGCGGGGGACCGUAAGGCCUCGCGCGAUUGGAGCGGCCGAUGUCAGAUUAGGUAGUUGGUGGGGUAAAGGCUCACCAAGUCAACGAUCUGUAGCUGGUCUGAGAGGACGACCAGCCACACUGGGACUGAGACACGGCCGAGACUCCUACGGGAGGCAGCAGUGGGGAAUUUUGGACAAUGGGCGCAAGCCUGAUCCAGCAAUGCCGCGUGCAGGAAGAAGGCCUUCGGGUUGUAAACUGCUUUUGUACGGAACGAAAAGGCUCUGGUUAAUACCUGGGGCUCAUGACGGUACCGUAAGAAUAAGCACCGGCUAACUACGUGCCAGCCGCCGCAGUAACAC
rnacentral:rRNA from 1 species